GCUGAAGUUCAAACUGUACAAGCGACGGCCUAUCACUAUUUUGCCACCUAAUGGAAUAUAGAGUUGCACUAUUCUGGUAAUCUUCCAUGUAUAGAUGUUGGAAAACCGAAAUGGCUAACAUACUCUGCUCUCGUGGUGACGAACUGGAUGGAGCUCGACUUGAUUACUAGUUAUCAGUCGUACUAGUUCUAGUUAUUGCAGUAUAUGCUUUAGCUAUGCUCUUUGCUGUCCUUGCAAUGUUACACAAAAGCUCUGUCCACCUUCAAAAGAGCUUCAUUAGUGGAGAAGUCAAGGCAAUAGCCACAAGAGAAGAUGGGUAGUUUGAUUACCACAUAUUUCCUACUUAAACUAUGAAAGGGCUGAUGCUCUAUGCACUGCGUGGCAAAUGAAUAUCUGAUUGGUUGUUUCAGGGUGCGAAAAUCACAAUAAUGAUCCAAAGCCUGUGGUUCAUUCUCAGGGCAUUUCCAUCAGCAGAAUUUUGAGGUUGAUGGUUGAAUGCCCCCAGCUCCAAGGGCAUGCUGCUAUGUGGUUCUGAGAUAAUUAACUUUUUUUAGUGUUGUUUUUGAUAUUUUCACCACAUUUCUGCUCCUAUUGGCUGUAAAGUUGAAAUUGUGGCUAACAUUCCAUUUGAUUGCAGCUGAAAGUUGGAAAUGGAGAUGAUUUCUUUCCUCAGAACUGAAUAAUAAUAAUGUGAUUUCAAGUUUCAUAUUCUUUUUUAACGUAAAUGUUUAGUCCACUGCAUUACAUUUACAUUUACACUAUGAGCCAUGUUUAGUCCACUGCAUUACAUUACACUAUGAGCCAUGUUGGAGAUUAGUAUUUUGUGUUCAUCUGUACAGAGACUAGUUCAACCUGCAAACAUUGAAAAGUGGGCCAUAAUAAACAUUGCUGCAUGCUGUUAUAUUCAUGGCCUUGUUGGAGAUCUCAUGAAGGAUGUGGAACACCCAUUUGAUGUAUUUGAAAAGAAUCAGAAGUACAGAUGACUACUCUCUCUUGUAAGGUUGGAAAAGAAGCUUGAAGAGAUUCAGGCUAAACUUUUAGGGGCACCUAAAUAACUUUUGUCUCCUUCCAGAGAGCAAAAACUGUGAUCUUUAUGGUUCUCAGAGAAAGAGGAAUUUGGCUGCAUAUGAUAUUACAACUGAUGUUCCUGAUGUUUCCUGAUGUUACUCAAUGCAUGGUUCCUACCAGUGUCUUACAACUGUUCUGCUUAAGGCCAAUGUAAAGCCAUGCUGUCAGUGAGUCGCAGUUUAAUCAAGCUUGCAAGUUUCUUGAUGAGAAAUGGUCUCCAAAAGUCGUGGUCAUUGUGAGAAAUCAUCAUACAAAGUUCUUUCAGUCUAAUGCACCAGAAAAUGUUGCCCCGGGUAUUGACUUGACAGACAAUGCAAUUAGGCUACAUAAGAAAGUUAUUGUUGCAUUGAUUGACUCGUACCAGGGAGGUGAUGCAGGGCCAUUGAUUGACAAUAAAGUUUGUCAUCUCAAGAACUAUGACUUCUACUUGUAUGCUCAUGCUGGCAUGGUUGUGAGUACUUGAAAGUAGAUGAAUAGUUAAACAAGACAUUUUUCUUUUCCUCAUUUUCCUGUUCCUUUAGGUUCGUCUGCAUAGCAUCUCUGCUGAUGUUUAUCUGUUCUGGCAUGCAAAAUUGUGCUUACAUUUUCGUGAUCGGGGUGGUUAGUGAUCACUUGCUUUAAAUUCAGUUAAAUUGGCUUCACAUUCACCUGGGUGAAAAUUCAUCGGAUAUCUGUUU